UACGGGGGGGGCAAGCGUUGUUCGGAAUUACUGGGCGUAAAGGGCUCGUAGGCGGCCAACUAAGUCAGGCGUGAAAUCCCUCGGCUUAACCGGGGAACUGCGUCUGAUACUGGAUGGCUGGAGUUUGGGAGAGGGAUGCGGAAUUCCAGGUGUAGCGGUGAAAUGCGUAGAUAUCUGGAGGAACACCGGUGGCGAAGGCGGCAUCCUGGACCAAUACUGACGCUGAGGAGCGAAAGCCAGGGGAGCAAACGGG
rnacentral:rRNA from 1 species